rnacentral:lncRNA from 1 species
AGUAACUGAACAGAUCCACAGGACUGAGAGCAUGAAGAGCCACUAUUUACCCUUUCGUUCUUGGGGCAUGACAGAGGGAAGAUACAGAACCAAAAGAGGAUGCAGAAACAAGCAUCAAGGUGGCCACCCAGAUGUUAAAAACCACUGUUUUUCAGCCACCAAGAUGAAACACAUGGCUAACGCUGGGACGAUGAAUUGCUUGCACUCUUGGAGAAGCCCAUACCCUUACUUGAGCACAACUUACUUUCUUCGGCCUUUCUUUGAGAAGCCCACAUCCCUACUCUGGUGUGUCUUACUUUCUUUGGAGCCCCUCUUGUUUUUCUUAACACUGAGGUUUAAGCCUGUAUUAAAGUAUCUUUAAU